rnacentral:rRNA from 1 species
UACGUAGGUGGCAAGCGUUGUCCGGAUUACUGGGCGUAAAGAGCGCGCAGGCGGUCGUUCAAGUCGCGUGUGAAAGCCCCCGGCUCAACUGGGAGGUCACGCGAUACUGAUCGACUCGAAGGCAGGAGAGGGAAGUGGAAUUCCCGGUGUAGUGGUGAAAUGCGUAGAUAUCGGGAGAACACCAGUGGCGAAGGCGACUUCCUGGCCUGUUCUUGACGCUGAGGCGCGAAGCUAGGGGAGCAACGGGAUAAGAAACC